GCCGAAAUAGCUCAGUCGGGAGAGCGUGAGACUGAAGCGAGCGUGGUCCGCCACCUGCUUCGCCUUCUUAAGGUCAUUGGUUCGAUUCCGAUUUUCGGCA